AUUGAACGCUGGCGGCAUGCUUUACACAUGCAAGUCGAACGGUAACAGGCCGCAAGGUGCUGACGAGUGGCGAACGGGUGAGUAAUGCAUCGGAACGUGCCCAGUCGUGGGGGAUAACGCAGCGAAAGCUGUGCUAAUACCGCAUACGAUCUAUGGAUGAAAGCGGGGGACCGUAAGGCCUCGCGCGAUUGGAGCGGCCGAUGUCAGAUGAGGUAGUUGGCGGGGUAAAGGCUCACCAAGCCAACGAUGUGUAGCUGGUCUGAGAGGACGACCAGCCACACUGGGACUGAGGCACGGCCCAGACUCCUACGGGAGGCAGCAGUGGGGAAUUUUGGACAAUGGGCGCAAGCCUGAUCCAGCAACGCCGCGUGCAGGAAGAAGGCCUUCGGGUUGUAAACUGCUUUUGUACGGAACGAAAAGGUUUGGGUUAAUACCCUGGGCCGAUGACGGUACCGUAAGAAUAAGCACCGGCUAACUACGUGCCAGCAGCCGCCGCCG
rnacentral:rRNA from 1 species